rnacentral:snRNA from 1 species
GUGCUCGCUUCAGCAGCACAUAUACUAAAAUUGGAACGAUACAGAGAAGAUUAGCGUGGCCCCUGCACAAAGAUGACAUGCAAAUUCGUGAAGCGUUCCACAUUUUU